rnacentral:rRNA from 1 species
AGUGAACGCUGGCGGUAGGCCUAACACAUGCAAGUCGAACGGCAGCACAGUAAGAGCUUGCUCUUACGGGUGGCGAGUGGCGGACGGGUGAGGAAUACAUCGGAAUCUACUUUUUCGUGGGGGAUCACGUAGGGAAACUUACGCUCAUACCGCAUACGAUCUACGGGUGAAAGCAGGGGAUCUUCGGACCUUGCGCGAUUGAAUGAGCCGAUGUCGGAUUAGCUAGUUGGCGGGGUAAAGGCCCACCAAGGCGACGAUCCGUAGCUGGUCUGAGAGGAUGAUCAGCCACACUGGAACUGAGACACGGUCCAUACUCCUACGGGAGGCAGCAGUGGGGAAUAUUGGGCAAUGGGCGCAAGCCUGAUCCAGCCAGACCGCGUGGGUGGAGAAGGCCUUCGGGUUGUAAAGCCCUUUUGUUGGGAAAGAAAAGCAGCAGGUUAAUACCCCGCUGUUCUGACGGUACCCAAAGAAUAAGCACCGGCUAACUUCGUG